rnacentral:rRNA from 1 species
UUUUUUAUAAAAGUAAUUUAUUUAUUUAGGGUUUUAGUAUUUAGUAAAAAUUAAUUUGUAGAUUUAUAGUUUAAUAGUAUUGUAAAAGAAUUAAUUAAAUUUAAAAAAGAAUAUUUUUAGUACCUUUUGUAUCAGGGUUAAUUAAAAUUUUUAAUUUUUUUUUGAUUUCUCAAAAUUUAUAGAGUUAAUUUUAUUAUUAAUUUAUUGUGUUAUAAAUAUUUAUAAAAUAAUAUUAGUUUUGAAAUUUAAUUCGUUAUAUUAUAUUUAGUUAUUUAAGAUUUAAAUUUAAUUUAAAAUUUUAAAAGUUAUUUUGAUUUUGUAUAUUAAUAUUUUAAAUUUAAAUUAUUUUAGGGAUAAGCUUAAAAUUUUUAUAUAAUAAUUUAUUUAUUUUAAUAAUUUAUAGGAAUAGAAAUUUUUAUUUUAAGUUUGUAAAAAUUUAUUAUUUAUUUAUUUUUAAUUUAUUAUAAAUUUAUUUAUUUUUUUUAUUAAAUUUUAUUAAUUAAUAUUUAAUUUUUAGUAAUAAUGAUUAAAUUAGUAUAAUUUAAAUUUAUAAAUUAUGAAUUCGGCAAAAAUUAUUUUCAUCUGUUUAACAAAAACAUUGUAUUAAGUUUAAUUUAAUAUAGGAUCUGCUCAAUGAUUUAUUAAAUAGCUGCAGUAUUUUGACUGUGCAAAGGUAGCAUAAUAAUUAGUCUUUUAAUUGAGGACUUGUAUGAAAGAUUUGAUGAGAAAUAAACUUUAUUAUUUAUAUAAUUAAAAUUUUAUUUUUAAGUAAAAAAGCUUAAAUUAUUUAAAGGGACGAUAAGACCCUAUAAAACUUUAUAAAUAUUAAUUUUAAUUUUUUUGGAUUUAUAAAUAUUUUAAUUUUAUUAUUUAUUUUAUUGGGGUGAUAAAAAAAAUUAUUAAACUUUUUUUAAAAUUUUACAUUAUUUAAUGAAUACUUGAAUUAAAAUUUUUAAUUAAAGGAAAAAGUUACUUUAGGGAUAACAGCGUAAUUAAUUUUUUAAGUUCAAAUUUAAAAAUUAGUUUGCGACCUCGAUGUUGAUUUUUUAUUAAUCUUAGGUGCAAAAUUUUAAGUAUUAGGUCUG